rnacentral:rRNA from 1 species
GAACGCUGGCGGCAGGCUUAACACAUGCAAGUCGAGCGGUAGCACAGGGGAGCUUGCUCCCUGGGUGACGAGCGGCGGACGGGUGAGUAAUGUCUGGGAAACUGCCUGAUGGAGGGGGAUAACUACUGGAAACGGUAGCUAAUACCGCAUAACGUCGCAAGACCAAAGAGGGGGACCUUCGGGCCUCUUGCCAUCAGAUGUGCCCAGAUGGGAUUAGCUAGUAGGUGGGGUAAUGGCUCACCUAGGCGACGAUCCCUAGCUGGUCUGAGAGGAUGACCAGCCACACUGGAACUGAGACACGGUCCAGACUCCUACGGGAGGCAGCAGUGGGGAAUAUUGCACAAUGGGCGCAAGCCUGAUGCAGCCAUGCCGCGUGUGUGAAGAAGGCCUUCGGGUUGUAAAGCACUUUCAGCGAGGAGGAAGGUGGUGAGCUUAAUACGCUCAUC